GAUGAACGCUGGCGGCGUGCCUAAUACAUGCAAGUCGAGCGAACAGACGAGGAGCUUGCUCCUCUGACGUUAGCGGCGGACGGGUGAGUAACACGUGGAUAACCUACCUAUAAGACUGGGAUAACUUCGGGAAACCGGAGCUAAUACCGGAUAAUAUAUUGAACCGCAUGGUUCAAUAGUGAAAGACGGUUUUGCUGUCACUUCUAGAUGGAUCCGCGCCGCAUUAGCUAGUUGGUAAGGUAACGGCUUACCAAGGCAACGAUGCGUAGCCGACCUGAGAGGGGGAUCGGCCACACUGGAACUGAGACACGGUCCAGACUCCUACGGGAGGCAGCAGUAGGGAAUCUUCCGCAAUGGGCGAAAGCCUGACGGAGCAACGCCGCGUGAGUGAUGAAGGUCUUCGGAUCGUAAAACUCUGUUAUUAGGGAAGAACAAAUGUGUAAGUAACUAUGCACGGCUUGACGGUACCUAAUCAGAAAGCCACGGCUAACUACGUG
rnacentral:rRNA from 1 species